GCCUACAAGCCCAGCCCAACCACACAGGGGAAUAUACCUGCAGGUAUGAAGUAAACAUGAGUGGCAGGUGGAUCUUGUCUCCCUGGAGCCAGAAGGUCAACAUCACAGUUUCCAGUUUGAUCCAAAAUUCAUACAUGCCAUGGUGGGCUGUUCGAUUUAUAUUCUUGCUGAUGAUUCCUGUCCCUUUCUGCUACCUGAGAAAGAUCAAUGAACCAUCAAAAGAAGACCAGGAAGAACCGGAGUCAGGAGAAAGGGAGAGCAUACCACUCCAGAGCCGUGGUCCCCAAACUUUUCCAAUCACAGAACCCUCCAGAAGGCUCCCCCCACCUCCCGCCUCACAGACCCCUAACCGUGUUCCUGAUCUUCCUGCAGAACCUUAACUGUGUCCCUACGUGUUGUUGUGAGGCUACAAAGCUCUUCCUUCUUUCAUGUACUGCUAUUUCCGCUGUGUUUUGGAAAUAAAGGGAUUCAAAUUUCUUUUAUGAAGCUGAGGUGCAUUCAAUUUCAACAAGAUCUUUAUACUAUGGCACAGACUUUUAAAAAUGUUUUAAAAAAAUUUUUUAAUAUUUUUUCAUGGAACUCUAUGAUAUUUUCAGCGCCAAUCCCAAAAGCAUUCUUGUCAAGAUAAAGGAAAAUGCACAUUUGCUGAGAUUUGUGCUGUGGACCCAAUUGCCUUGUCUCUCUCUACUCUGAUUGGGCCAUUAUAUCAGAUUUUCUCCUUGCUUGUGGACUUCAAAUCCACAUGUCCCAAGCUUUGAGAGUCUCUCAAGGUGACUUUUUAAUUCCAGCUGGUUCCCACAGUUUCACCUACUUGCAUUUGACACCAUUGUCUGGCUAAAGAGUGUCUAGAAUGGAAAGAGAUAAAAUAAAAUACAAAUUUUGUGUGUGAAAUGACAUUUGUGUACCCUGAGUGAUCAGAAAGCAAAAAAUGUCACUGUCUCUGCC
rnacentral:lncRNA from 11 species